rnacentral:tRNA from 1 species
UCUUGUAUGGCAGAUAUAAUGCGACAGGCUUAAGAUUUGUUUAUAGACAAUUUUGUCUUACUAGAA